rnacentral:rRNA from 1 species
UACGUAGGCAGCAAGCGUUGUUCGGAGUUACUGGGCGUAAAGGGUGCGUAGGCGGCUUCUUAAGUCUGGUGUGAAAUCUCCCGGCUCAACUGGGAGGGUGCGCCGGAUACUGAGGGGCUAGAGUGUGGGAGAGGAAAGUGGAAUUCCUGGUGUAGCGGUGAAAUGCGUAGAUAUCAGGAGGAACACCGGUGGCGAAGGCGGCUAUCUGGACAGAGUCUGACGCUGAGGCGCGAAAGCUAGGGGAGCAAACAGG